CGACUGUAAUGCACGCAGUGGUUCAUCCCGAUCAACAAAAAAAAAGUGUUAUCAUCAUAACACCUGGUGAUAUUGAAAUCUUUAAAAAAUCAAGCUUAUGAUAAAAUAUUGCUGCUCGCUGCCUUCACUGAUUCAAGACCGUUCAGUGGCUAUCAUUGGCCAAUCACACAAACGGGAGGUUUAUAUUUAUAUUAAACUUUGAUCCACCUAUGCAAGGAAAAAUAAGCCAUUGGAGAUAAAUCGAACCCCCUUCUCUAGUAGCAGCA